rnacentral:rRNA from 1 species
CCUACGGGCGGCAGCAGUGAGGCAUAUUGGUCAAUGGACGAGAGUCUGAACCAGCCAAGUAGCGUGAAGGAUGACUGCCCUCUGGGUUGUAAACUUCUUUUAUAUGGGAAUAAAAUGUUCCACGUGUGGGAUUUUGUAUGUACCAUAUGAAUAAGGAUCGGCUAACUACGUGCCAGCAGCCGCGGUAAUACGGAGGAUCCGAGCGUUAUCCGGCUUUAUUGGGUUUAAAGGGAGCGUAGGUGGAUUGUUAAGUCAGUUGUGAAAGUUUGCGGCUCAACCGUAAAAUUGCAGUUGAAACUGGCAGUCUUGAGUACAGUAGAGGUGGGCGGAAUUCGUGGUGUAGCGGUGAAAUGCUUAGAUAUCACGAAGAACUCCGAUUGCGAAGGCAGUUCACUGGACUGCAACUGACACUGAGGCUCGAAAGUGUGGGUAUCAAACAGGAUUAGAGACCCGAGUAGUC